GGCUCGGUAGCUUAGUUGGUAAAGCGCUCGUCUAGCAUACAAGAGUCAAGAGUGGGUUCAAAUCCCAGCCGAGCAC
rnacentral:tRNA from 1 species